rnacentral:rRNA from 1 species
GCCUAUGGCCAUACCACCCUGAACACGCCCAAUCUCGUCUGAUCUCGGAAGCUAAGCAGGGUCGGGCCUGGUUAGUACUUGGAUGGGAGAUCCUACCCAUCUAUGUUGUCAUCAUGC